CUACGGGGCGCAGCAGUGGGGAAUAUUGGACAAUGGGCGCAAGCCUGAUCCAGCAAUGCCGCGUGAGUGAAGACGGCCUUAGGGUUGUAAAACUCUUUCGCUAGGGAAGAUAAUGACUGUACCUAGUAAAGAAGUCCCGGCUAACUCCGUGCCAGCAGCCGCGGUAAUACGGAGGGGACUAGCGUUGUUCGGAAUUACUGGGCGUAAAGAGUUCGUAGGCGGACUGACAAGUUAGAGGUGAAAUCCCAGGGCUCAACCCUGGAACUGCCUUUAAAACUGUCAGUCUAGAGACCGGAAGAGGUUAGGGGAAUACCUAGUGUAGAGGUGAAAUUCGUAGAUAUUAGGUGGAACACCAGUGGCGAAGGCGCCUAACUGGUCCGGUACUGACGCUGAGGAACGAAAGCGUGGUGAGCAAACAGGAUUAGAUACCCUAGUAGUC
rnacentral:rRNA from 1 species